rnacentral:rRNA from 1 species
UACGUAGGGCGCAAGCGUUGUCCGGAAUUAUUGGGCGUAAAGAGCUCGUAGGCGGUUUGUCGCGUCUGCUGUGAAAACCUGAGGCUCAACCUCGGGCUUGCAGUGGGUACGGGCAGACUAGAGUGCGGUAGGGGGAGACUGGAAUUCCUGGUGUAGCGGUGAAAUGCGCAGAUAUCAGGAGGAACACCGGUGGCGAAGGCGGCCUGCUGGGCAGUAGCUGACGCUGAUGGCGCGACAG